rnacentral:lncRNA from 1 species
GAAGCGCUUACAAAACAACAGAUACACUAUAUCGGGGUGACUGGAAAGUAAUAAUGUGGAUGGCCUGGUUCUGAACGUAUUGUAAAGGAGCAAGAUGAGAGCUAUAUGUGUUGCCCCAAGUCGCAAUGCAGUAGGUGAAGUGACUGUGAAUGAAUGCAUGAUAAGCAGAAAGCAAGGUUGGUAGACUAAAGUAUGGACGUGCUUUUAUAAGAAUCUGGAUACCAUAUCUCAUUUCUUGCUUUAGAUGUGAAAUAUGGUUAAUGUACUUUAA